rnacentral:rRNA from 1 species
UACGAAGGUGGCAAGCGUUGUUCGGAUUCACUGGGCGUACAGGGUGUGUAGGCGGUUUGGUAAGCCUUCUGUUAAAGCUUCGGGCCCAACCCGGAAAGCGCAGAGGGUACUGCCAGGCUAGAGGGUGGGAGAGGAGCGCGGAAUUCCCGGUGUAGCGGUGAAAUGCGUAGAGAUCGGGAGGAAGGCCGGUGGCGAAGGCGGCGCUCUGGAACAUGCCUGACGCUGAGACACGAAAGCGUGGGGAGCAAACAGGAUUAGAUACCCUGGUAGUCCACGCCCUAAACUAUGGAUACUAAGUGUCGGCGGGUUACCGCCGGUGCCGCAGCUAACGCAUUAAGUAUCCCGCCUGGGAAGUACGGCCGCAAGGUUGAA